UACGUAGGGCGCAAGCGUUGUCCGGAAUUAUUGGGCGUAAAGAGCUCGUAGGCGGCUUGUCACGUCGGGUGUGAAAGACCGGGGCUUAACCCCGGUUCUGCAUUCGAUACGGGCUGGCUAGAGUGUGGUAGGGGGAGAUCGGAAUUCCUGGUGUAGCGGUGGAAUGCGCAGAUAUCAGGAGGAACACCAAUUGCGAAGGCAGCUCGCUGGGACGUGACUGACGCUGAGACGCGAAAAGCGUGGGGGAGCAAACAGG
rnacentral:rRNA from 1 species